AGAGUUUGAUCCUGGCUCAGGACGAACGCUGGCGGCGUGCUUAACACAUGCAAGUCGAGCGGAAAGGCCCUUCGGGGUACUCGAGCGGCGAACGGGUGAGUAACACGUGAGCAAUCUGCCCUUAGCUUCGGGAUAGCUCCGGGAAACCGGAAUUAAUACCGAAUAUGACCACGGCCGACAUCAGCUGUGGUGGAAAGUUUUUCGGCUAGGGAUGAGCUCGCGGCCUAUCAGCUUGUUGGUGGGGUAACGGCCUACCAAGGCGACGACGGGUAGCCGGCCUGAGAGGGCGACCGGCCACACUGGGACUGAGACACGGCCCAGACUCCUACGGGAGGCAGCAGUGGGGAAUAUUGCGCAAUGGGCGAAAGCCUGACGCAGCGACGCCGCGUGGGGGAUGAAGGCCUUCGGGUUGUAAACCCCUUUCAGCAGGGACGAAGCGAAAGUGACGGUACCUGCAGAAGAAGCGCCGGCUAACUACGUGCCAGCAGCCGCGGUAAU
rnacentral:rRNA from 1 species